CACGUAGGCACCAAGCGUUGUCCGGAUUUACUGGGCGUAAAGGGCGCGUUAGGCGGUCGUGACAAGUCACUUGUGAAAUCUCCGGGCUUAACUCGGAACGGUCAAGUGAUACUGUCGGACUAGAGUACAGAAGGGGCAACUGGAAUUCUCGGUGUAGCGGUGAAAUGCGUAGAUAUCGAGAGGAACACCUGCGGCGAAGGCGGGUUGCUGGGCUGAUAACUG
rnacentral:rRNA from 1 species